AAGGAAAAGUGUGAAAAUUCAAGGAAACAAGUGAAAAAAAGGGGAGAUGCCAAAACUGAUAUUAAAGCCUUCCGAGGUUCUGGUUGGCAUUCCGAGCAAUAAAUGUCUAUUGGGACGUCGAGACGGUUGUUAUGGGCUCGAAGGGAGUACCGGGUCGUGACACGGUUACUCAAGAAUAGGUUUUAAUGUGCAUAAUGAAUGGCAUUAUUAUGAAGAGUUUUAAUGUGAGUAACCGUUAUUGUAAUCCAUUAAAAGUGAAUCUAACAGAGAGGAAGUAGGCAAAAAGGCCGAACCUCUAUAAAAUACUUGUGUCAAUUUUUCUACUCAUCUCUUUACUUGAAAUUCAAAUUUCUUUCAUUGAUCAAGAGGUCAAUUAACUUGUUUA